AGGGGCAGCACUUCUUCGGAUGGUGGCGACCGGCGCACGGGUGCGUAACGCGUAUAGAACUUACCUUUUACAGAGGGAUAGCCUUUAGAAAUGAAGAUUAAUACCUCAUAGCAUUGAGAUUUGGCAUCAAAUUUUAAUUAAAGAUUUAUCGGUAAAAGAUGGCUAUGCGUCCUAUUAGCUAGAUGGUGAGGUAACGGCUCACCAUGGCAACGAUAGGUAGGGGUCCUGAGAGGGAGAUCCCCCACACUGGUACUGAGACACGGACCAGACUCC
rnacentral:rRNA from 2 species